CUAGGUCUCAGUUCAGAUUGCAGGCUGCAACCCGCCUGCAUGAAGUCGGAAUUGCUAGUAAUCGCGGAUCAGCAUGCCGCGGUGAACACGUUCCCGGGCCUUGUACACACCGCCCGUCACACCAUGGGAGCCGGUAAUACCCGAAGUCAGUAGUCCAACCUCGUGAGGACGCUGCCGAAGGUAGGAUUGGCGACUGGGGUGAAGUCGUAACAAGGUAAC
rnacentral:rRNA from 1 species